rnacentral:rRNA from 1 species
UACAGAGGGUGCAAGCGUUGUUCGGAAUUAUUGGGCGUAAAGGGCGCGUAGGCGGUGCGGUAAGUCUGCAGUGAAAUCUCUGGGCUCAACUCAGAGUCUGCUGUAGAAACUGCCGUGCUUGAGUGUGGGAGAGGUGAGUGGAAUUCCCGGUGUAGCGGUGAAAUGCGUAGAUAGUCGGGAGGAACACCUGUGGCGAAAGCGGCUCACUGGACCACAACUGACGCUGAGGCGCGAAAGCUAGGGGAGCAAACAGG